ACUUUCUUGCCUUUAGAAUUAGUGUUGGAAAACUUAAAAUCAUUAGGAUAACCAAAAAUCUUAUAGCAUUUCUCAAUAACAUGUUCACUCCGCUUGCAGUACUUACAAAAUAAGGAGGAUCUGUCCUGAUCGAAAUUGAUUCUUUGAGCAUAAGGUGUAGGAGGAUGGGCAUUGUGAGGUUUGUGAAGAACUGGGUAAUUGAUGUGGGAUUUAGUGGCAGGUGGUCUUUUAUCAUAGGAAACAUUGAAAGAGACAUAUUCAUUUGAGAAUUGAGAAGGAAAGACUAUCUGUUUUUGCCUUUGAUCUUGCAACAAGAUGUUGUAAACAGAAUCAAGUGAAGAAAAAGGUUGCAGCAUGAGGAGAUUACUCAUUACCCCGAUAUAAGCCUCAUUCAGGCCCAUGAGGAAUUGAUACACCUUAUUUUCCUCCUCUUUCUUUUAAAGACCAGAUUUUGCCGCACAAGUACAGGUGUUAAUGUGAGAUGUGGAAAUAAACCUAAGUUCAUCCCAUAACCUUUUGAGUUUGUUAAAGUAAGAUGCAAUGUCUAGUGACCCUUGACUAGUGGAUGCCAAUUCUUUCUUCAACUCAAACACUUUAGUGACACUAACCGACCCAUAUCUUUUGUUCAAUUGAGACCAUAUACUUUCAGCGGUGUCAGAAUAUUGAACACUUUUGGCUAUUUCUGGAGAUAAGAAACUGGUUAGCCAAGAUAUGGCCAUGUUGUUACACCUAUCCCAACCCUAGCACGAGAUGUGCCCUCAGCAGGUCUAGUGUAAGCACCAUCGAUAAAACCUAUCUUAUUUCUAGUAGACAGAGAAACAAUCAUGUUCCUUCUCCAACCCCCAAAAACAGUUCCAAAGAAGGGUAAACUAACUAGAGAGAUACCGGGAACAUCAGAAGAAGAGAGGUACAACGGGUCAGAGUAGUCAUAGCGGCGGAAGUCGAAGCACCAGAUAAAUUAUUUGUGUUCACCAUGAUAAGUCAAACCAGCUAUGUAAGUAUAGGGUAAUCAAGCUCAACAAUCACAAUUUAAACAAGAUGAUUUCAAUUUGGUCACAAUCCAACAAUCACAGACCACCAAAAUAACAUAAAUCGAAGAAAUCGAAGAAAGAAAAAUUACCCCCCAUUUUUGUAACCGAAAAAUGGUAUCGGCCUUGUUAUGGAAAGAAAGGUCCAGUGAAAACCAAAAAAUCAACCUCAAUAGCUCACCGAAACUCAGCGGAGGUCAAAUCCGAUCAAAUAAAAAAUCACCGGCGAGCUGAAAACACGCCGUUCAAGUCUACGAGGGUACCAUCGGAGGCCGUACAAUCACAUGGAGAACUUGGAUCUACGCUCUGAUACCAUGUAAAAGCAUUGAAACCAUGCUGAAAAAGUAAGCUUCAGAGAGAAGCUUCCAGAGAGAAUGAGAUCAGCAAAGAGAAGAAAAACUUUUCUUAGAAAAAUAUAUGGAUCCUCUUUCAGGACCUGUGUUCUUUUCUUUUUGUACAAGUAUAUGAGCUCAACAUGAAAUGGGCCUACGAAAUAUUUAUUUAUAGUUGGGAUAAACAGAAAUAUGAAAUACAACAUAUGAAAUAAUCAUGUACACGUAGAUGUAACGUCAACAGCGGAAUCGAGCUCUACCCUCUCCUAUUGGAUAUCACCUAUUGCACCAACUCAACCACCCUUAUGAUGGGUUCUAAAUUUAGUAUAUGUAAAAUUCAAUAUUAGAGGAUUGCUUUCAUAUGAUGAGAAUCAUUGGUUUAAAUUCAGUAGAAGAUAACAUCAAUCGAGAUAUCUAUUUUUGUCAACAUGACAUCAAAUACGAACUAACAAUAAAGAGUUAAUUGAAUGAUCAAAACAUUAAUUUCUUUCACGUAUGAUCUUUUUUGACCGCUUUGACAGCUUAAUAUCAAAGAAUUCUCCCUAUUCCAUCUGUAGGUGAAGACCUGCAGAGUUUGAAAGUGAAAAAAAUCCCAAUAGAAGGUUGGGAAACAGAAUCAAAUAAAGAUAAAUAAAUAUAAUUAACUAUAACUUUCUCCGUUUAUAUCAGUUGGUCAUUUCUUUUAUUAAGAAAUCAUAAAUAAAAGGUAUUUUUAUUAAUUCACUCCUUGAAGAAUUUUUGAAAAAGAGAUAAUACUCAUAAAAAUAUCUGAACUUUGACCGGAUUUUCAGUUGAGCAUUAUCUGCCCACUUGGACACAUGUAAAUACACAUGUAAAAACAAAAUUGGUGUGUGUAUUGCACCGCCAGCCGCCGAAACUGGGUAUAGAAUUUCAGGGGGGGAAUUAAAUCCACUUUGAAAAGUCUAGGGGGUAAUAGGACUCCCGCAAAGUUCAGUAUGCUCAACUGGAAAUCUGAUCAAAGUUCAGAUAUUUUUGUGAGUAUUAUCCCUUUGAAAAACUUUACAAACAAGUGCGAACACUUUCGAAAAAAAUUAAUUGCAAGGGUAAUAUGAGAAAAUUUUAAUUAAUACUUUCUUGAUUUUGUAAGAUAGACAGCUAAUAUGGGAUAAUUAUUUUUAGUAAGACGACCAACUAAUACGGGAGGGAGUACUCCCUCAGUUGCUUUAGUAGUCGUUCUAACAAAAACUAGAUUUCCCUUAUAAAUACUUUGUCGUUUCAUAAAAAUCAAGAUAUAAUUACUUGUUCCUUUCAUCUUUACCCUUAGUCAUAAAUAUGAAUAGAUAUCAAUAUAGUGCAAAAAGGAGAAAUAUUAAAUAAGAAUACUACUACCCCCAUUCCAUUUUACUCGUCCCAAAUUUUUUAAUUUUACUUGUCAUUUUUCAUUAAUUAAGACAAGACAAUUUUUUUUCUUUUUUACCCUUAAUAUUAAUUAUUUUUUCUCCAAAUUAAAAUGUAAACAUCAUUUAAUAGGGGUAUUAGGUAAAUUCUUGUUAUUAAUUGUUUUUCUUAACCAAUAUGCAAUGUCAAAUUGGGGCGAGUAAAAUGACGGAGAAAGUAAUAAAUAAGGAUAAUAUAGUUUAGCAUGUAAUUAAUAUUUUUAGAGUUGAAAACAAAAAUCGUAAAAACUAUUAAGAAAUGGAGGAUUACUUCAGGAAUAUUAUUUGGAAUUGGAGAGACGUUUUAAUUUUCACUACUUAAUCAAUUAUCGUUGUAUUACUUAUAGAAAGUAGUAAAAGAAAAUUAAACAAAAUCCAGGAAAAGAAAAAAUAUAAAUAGAUGCAAUCACAAAGAUGAGAUAUAUUAAUAAGUUUAUUUCCAAAAUAUCUGCUAUCUGCAUAAUUUACGCAGUUAUUGUUCGACCCCUUGAACCUACUUGUUCACACUGAAGCACUACUUAAUUAAGCAAUAAAAAGAAAAAAAUUUAACUCGAGAAAUAACAAAUAAUGACCCAAAUUGGUAUCAUGCAUUAAAACCCAUACCACACAAGCAAAAUUAAUAAGUUCUUGCUAUCUAUAUUUUGCUGAACCAAUAAUUUUCUAUCCAAAAAAAUACUUUCUAAAUGCAGUCCAAUUAAUUAGUUCCCACCUAAAUUCGACCAAAUUCAUAAUCUUGAUAUUUACUAAUAAAGUAAAAUCAACAAAAUAUUAAUUAUUUUUACUUAUCUACUAUGUUUGGUAAUUAAGUUGCCCACCAUCCUAAAUCCUAUUUUGAGACAUGUAUACAAUUUUGUGACAAAAGACUAUCUAAUAGUCAACAUUAAUAUCUCUUUCAACAAGAAUCAACAUAAAUUUUUAACUUGCAAAAAUUUUUUCCUGAUAAUCGCGGAGAGCAUUCACUAAAAUUUUUUAUAUAAGAAAAAGAAAGGAGCUUCAUGCUAGUCACUUAGAUAUAUGAUUUCUACUUAUUUAUAUUGAGAAUUGCAAAUACUAGCAUUUUCUCACUUCUUUAAUUAAGUUAGUUUGAGGAAAUUCAAAAAAAAGUGCUUGUUUUUGAAGUUACAUUAGUAUUAUUUUUUCUAGCAAAAUGAAGUAUGAUAGUUUCUUUGCCAGGAGUUUUAGUAAGCAUGAGCAAAAGAAAUUAGGAAUUGGAGCAUUUGUUAGUUGUUUCAUCUUAGUAGCCACCUUUUGUAUUCUCUUCAAGCCUGAAUUCGUCAUUUUCGAGUUGGUAAGUUUUUGGAGCUUUUCUUCAUUUAAUUUGCAAAUUAUGCUUUUAUACUGCCGGUAUAUAUAAGUUUAAACUCGUCGUUUGUCAAUAUAUAUAAGUUUAAACUCGUCAUUUCCUUUUUGAAGAGUUGAUUUUCGCCUUGUUUAUAGUCAAACUCUUUUAAGUUUCACCAACAAUCAUCACCUUUUUUUAAGUAAAGAAAAAGACUAUGACUUUCUAUUGAUGUGCCACUUCGUUUUAAUGUUUUGGCAUCUAUAUGCGAUCCUGAAACAUCAAUGUUUAAUGUAAAGGCUAUUGCAAUAACAUUUAAUUUAUAUCAACUCAUAGUAUAAUGAAAUUUUUUCCCAAGUCUGCUUACACCCGCCACCCGGUCUCCCCCUACCCAUUUUGUGGAUCUCACUGGAUAUAUUAUUAUUGUUGAUAGUAUAAUAAAAAUCUUAUAUUAUAGUCGCCUUAUUUUUCACGUUAAUAAUUCCAUCUAGUAUAGAUCGGUAAUUACAUAUAGCUAGUGUAAAUAAUGAUUACAUUGUUGUUAUGUUCUUGUCUCAACAGUGAAUGUUAGGGUAUCUCUUCGUGGUGAUGGUGGUCCUAAAAGUCUAGCAAUAAUAGAGGAAGUUACCAAGCCAAAAAAGCCAUGUAAGUAAUCAAGUUCAUAAUUAGCCUAAAUUUUUUUUGUAAAUGAGCUUAUUAACUUUGUCUAAUUACUUACCAUACAUGUAAUUAUCUUAUUUCAGAUUUUGAAAUAGAACAAGAGAAACAAAUUUGCAAUGUGACACAUCCAAGAGCUGAUCUCUGUGAGAUGAAUGGUGACAUAAGAAUUCAUGGAAAUUCAUAAACAGUAUUUUUUGUUUCAAGUGAUGAUGAAAAGAACAACACAUGGAACAUAAGACCAUAUGCAAGAAAAGGUGACAAUAGAGCAAUGGACAGUGUUACAAACUUAAUAGUCAAAAAAGUUCAUAUUUCUCAAGAAAUCCCAACUUGCACUAGAAAUUAUACUGUCCCUGCCAUAGUUUUUUCAACUAAAGGGUAUGCUGGAAAUCACUUCCAUGAUUUCACUGAUGUGUUGAUUCCAUUAUUCCAAACGUCGCGACGUUUCAAUGGUGAAGUACAAUUUCUGAUUACUAACCAUAUGUCCUGGUGGAUCGACAAGUUCAAACCAUUGCUACAAAGAUUGACAAAGUAUGAGAUUGUUGAUAUUGACAAGAAAAAAGAAGUCCUUUGUUUCCCAAGUAUGACAAUUGGCUUAAAAGCCAAUAAAGAAUUCAGCAUCAACACUUCAGAAUCUUCAUACUCCAUGAUGGACUUCACAAAAUUCUUGAAAAACACUUAUUCCUUGAAGAGAAAAUUUGCGGUGAGACUGAAAAAGAAUAAGCCCCGGCUUCUUAUCAUUUCAAGAAGCAAAACAAGGCGUUUUAUAAACAUACAAGAGCUUGUCACAAUGGCUAGCAGCUUGGGAUUCCAAGUAGUUUUGGAAGAAACAAGUGAAAAUUUGGCUAAUGUUGCGAAAAAAGUGAACUCAUUUGAUGUACUAAUGGGAGUGCAUGGUGCUGGAUUGACUAAUAUGGUUUUUUUGCCAGAAAAUGCAGCUGUUGUACAGAUUGUGGGAUUGGGAAUGGAAUGGAUAUCUAAAGUGGAUUUUGAAAUUCCAGCAAUGGACAUGAACUUGAAGUAUUUGGAUAACAAGAUUAGUGUAAAUGAGAGUUCUUUAAUUCAAAAAUAUCCACUUGAACAUCAGGUUUUAAGGGAUCCACCUGCUAAUGUUAUUACUCCUGAAGAGUGGGUUUCAUAUAGCAAGAUUUAUUUAGAUCAGCAAGAUGUAAAUAUUGAUGUAAAUAGAUUUAGAGGAACUCUCUUGAAAGCAUUAGAGCUUUUGAGGAGUUGAGUUUUUGUUUUUUUUGGUAUUGUCUAUACAAGAAAGGCCUAAAAUAGGAUUAAACUUCAUUCAGUAUAUUCUUGAUUCACUUUCCUUCGAUGUUUUCUUUCUUUGGUUAAAUUUAGAUGAUGCAGUUGAUUCUUUUACUCUUUCUGCUUUUCGUAAAUCCAGAUGGUAUGUUUUUGAAAGUCAAUCCUGUAGCUAAAAAGGGAAAAAGAGACGAAGCGAACUUUGAUAUGAUGUAUAUAAAAGAUUUGCCUAGUGCAUUUACAUCUUGUGUGUAACUUACUAACCAGUCCGCAGGUUUCCUAAGUUCAAAAAGAACUUAUCAGCUUGACAUUUUAGACACACGAUUCUUAAGGUCCUUUGAAUUUCAAUAUUUUUCACCUAAGUUUUGCCAUUUUUAUUUUUUGUAAAUCAGAAUAGCUAUUUGUAGACUUGUUACUUAAUCUCGUAAUUCAGCAUUUAAAAUGUUUUUUCCUGAAACGAGGAGCUUCUUAUUCUUGAUUGGUUUGACGAACUUAGUGCUUUCACUGGUAUAUCCAUUAGUCUAUACUUGCUACCUCAAAAGUUCAUGCAAAUGUUAGAAGCUCAAUAUUUUUGGUUAAAGUAAAAGAAUAUUAGUCUAUACCUGAUUUAAAUUAACAACUUGCAUUUUGUAUAGGAAAAUUUAUGGACGGGAUAUGGACAUUUUUUCUGUGAGGAACUCAAGACACAGAUUAGUAGUUGAAUGUUUCUCGAAUUUCGUAUGAAGAAACAAUCUACAGUAAUGUCUUUUUUUUUUAUGCUGACCAGGAUUUAUACCAUGCAUGUUCUCUACUGAUUUUCACUCACUUCAUUGAUCGCCAGACAACUCAGUGCAAGUAAUAGUCUUACAUUCGACCAUGCUAGGAACAACUAAUUAUCAAGCAGAAAAAGUGCAGCAGUAAAAUUCAUUUGUUAGGUUUGCAACUUUGCUCCCUGCAUAUACCUUCUAAUAAUUAAUCGAAUCCCCUUCUACAACACACAAACAAACACACUAUAAGCAUAUCAAGAUUGUUGUAAAGAGUCGCAGCACAACACUUGUAAAUAAUCUGCACCAAGAAUUACGGAGGACACCAUCAUUGUGAGAUUUAAAAGGCAAAUACAUCCUUUAGACAUAGAAGUCUAUACAUCAUGAUCGUUCAGGAGUCUCGUAAAACAACUUUGUAUUUGGUGCACAACUACUCUCCACUUUCCUCCUACAGAUCUUUUCUCAUAAAUAAUAAUGAAUUAGAAGCUGACUCAUACUACAAGGUAUAAAUAUUAGUGUGUACCUUCUGUAAUCCCGAGACCUAGCUGACUUUUCAGGUCAUUGCACGUCUGCCCGUCCACUUCUCGGUGAAAAAAACUGAUGACUGGGCCAAACCCUUACUUGAGAAUUUGACUAGCCCUUGGGGGCAGGAAUGAUGGAUAGAGANNNNNNNNNNNNNNNNNNNNNNNNNNNNNNNNNNNNNNNNNNNNNNNNNNNNNNNNNNNNNNNNNNNNNNNNNNNNNNNNNNNNNNNNNNNNNNNNNNNNNNNNNNNNNNNNNNNNNNNNNNNNNNNNNNNNNNNNNNNNNNNNNNNNNNNNNNNNNNNNNNNNNNNNNNNNNNNNNNNNNNNNNNNNNNNNNNNNNNNNNNNNNNNNNNNNNNNNNNNNNNNNNNNNNNNNNNNNNNNNNNNNNNNNNNNNNNNNNNNNNNNNNNNNNNNNNNNNNNNNNNNNNNNNNNNNNNNNNNNNNNNNNNNNNNNNNNNNNNNNNNNNNNNNNNNNNNNNNNNNNNNNNNNNNNNNNNNNNNNNNNNNNNNNNNNNNNNNNNNNNNNNNNNNNNNNNNNNNNNNNCAGGAAUGCUGGAUAGAGAACAUAGACAGCAUGGUGGCCAGUGUAAUGAACUUUAACCAAUGUCACCAAAUAGGAAGAUGGCGAAUUGAUUAAUUCCUCCCACGAUGCCAAUACUCAAAUACAGUAGCUCCAGCGAGAUUGUCUGCAACCCGCUCAAAAAAUGAAGGUCCAAUAAGACUCAUUAUAUACAACCUUCAAGCUGCAUCUUCUUCACCAAAGAUCACUCAAUUCUUAUUCAACCAAGAAAAAUGAUGCCAGCAAGAACCUCUUUAUCCGGGACGGUCAGGUUAGUGACCCUUAACUUAUGCACAGUUACCUCCAUUUUGUACUAUGAAGUUGCUUUUUACUCUUGCUUUUCUUCAGAAGUGCUGACAUGUGUUCAACAGCUUUCGAAGAUGACUGGGUCUCACCAGUCAACCACUGCAGAGCUUCAGCAGCUGCAUCUUUUUCAGCUUCCUUCUUACUACUGCUAGGCUGGCCAACAAAAUUUAACCCAUUGAAUAUUACAGUGGCGCGGAACUUACAAUUUGUUAGUUGUGUUAUCUUGUAACUGGGUGAUUGAUGGCCAGCCCGAGCAAGCAAUGUUUGAAGAUGAGACUUUGGAUUCGCACCACCACUGCCCUUAGUUGAAAUGACAUUUUUCUGUAACUCCUUUGCAGACUUCUUGGGGGAUGGUUUACGACCAAAGACAAAUUUGCCUUCACAUUGAUCUUCCGACACCAGCAAUCUAACAGCUUCUAAUAGCUCGCCAUGACUACCUACAUCAAAAUUACGGUCCAAGAGCUGCCAGAAAAAGCAAACAUCAGGAGGGAGAAGAUUUUGUCAUAUGCAUCCACUUGUAAUAUUCUUUCUGAAGAAUGCAUACGAAAUGAGAUGUGUGUGGAAUAGUUACAAACAAUAUCAUCCAUUCACACGGUUUCCAGGAGCAACACUACAGGAGCAGAAUAUAUGGAGAACUCAAAAAGAUGGUCACACAAACAAAGAUGGAAUGAUAUACAUACUUUCUUAUGGACAAGUUCAUUAAGCUCCCUCUUCAAGCUUACAUAAGUAUUUGCCAAUGAGGGGCUCAUGAAAAACUCCAAGUAUCCUCCAAGCAUCAUCAAGUGUCCAUCCUAACAAGAGAAAAAAGAGUUUUAAGGAAACACCAAACACUAAAUCAUACAAAUAAUUGUGGAAUUCAGAAACAUGACAACGUUAUCUCUAGAAAACCACAAAGAAACCAACCUCGUCCCUGCUGGCGGGGGAGCUGGGACUGGAGUAUGUAGAGUCAGAAGAAAGAAAAACUUACUAGAGCUUUUCCAGAAAUGCUUCCGCCAAAUAAGAGUACCACAGAAUCAGAUAUAGCCGUAGAAUCACGCAAGAAUACUGCAUUCACUUUUACUUUUUCGUUGAAGACAAGCCAUGGAUACGGAAUUUGAGGUUCUUGAGCAUUGACAGAGUUCUAAGGGGGAAAAAAGGAAAAGCACUAUUAGAAGAAUUGAAACUUUCUACCAAAAAAUUAUAUGAAAUGUUUCAAAAUUAAAAUAAAACUAAUUAUACUAUGAAGCUUACAGAGUACAAAAGGACUCCACCAUCCUCCAUUGUUUUCAGUGAGAUUGACUUCUCCUUGUUCUGUCAGUCCAAUAUAUGGCCAGUAAGCACAAACAGAUAUAGAAAUGAACGAUUGACAUGAGAUUUUGAUACACAUAGGAAAACAAAUCUGACAUAGUUCACCACUAAUCAACCUUUUUAUUGAUGAAAUAGAUAGACUAAGAUGGAAGUGCAAACAUGCAUUGCAGUGAGAAAGCGAAAGAGUUCAGCGAUCAGUAUCAUGUACAAGCCAACUUUCACUUCAUGUAAAUACAUAUGAAGUGCUAACCUCAAUGACCAAGAGAAGAAUCAUUAAUCAAAAGAGCAUAACCCACCACAACAGAGCAUAUUCCAGGGAAUAACCCACCACAUACGAUUGCUCGAACCAGAUGUUCAUCAUUACUCCAGGCAUUACAACUCUGAAAGCUAUCAACUAAACCAAUGUCUUUAAGUAGAUACAAAAAUUGUUUCCGAAGGGAGUCCAUUGCUUUGAGAGUUUGUGCAGAAAGGAAAUUUUUCCAACAGUACUCAUAACCAGAUUGUUGCCUUUCAGCGUCCUUCCAGCCGUCAUAAGCCCGAACAAGAGCAAGAUGAUCACUGAAGUCACGAGCAGAAAACUGGGCUUUGGCAGACUCAGCAAGCUGCAAGAAGUGUUAUCGAAUACAUGACACAUGCUCCUAAAGAAAAAGAAACUAAAGCGCAAUUGAGGAUAUAAGGCAAUCAAUGGCUAAUUAAAGGGGUUCAACAAAUGGGAAACAAGAUCUCAGUUCAAACAUUGUUUUUUAAUGGAAGUCUCAAUUAACAAUGCUCCCAAGCACUAGGAUAAUAUAAAGAUCCACGCAACUGAAAAAAUUUUCUACUUGAAAAUUCACUGGACUUGUGGCAAUUCCCGAGACUACUGCAGAAACUCAAAAAAACUACCAAAAUUCACAUUAGUAAGAGCACACUCAGGUCACUUACAUCUUCACAAGUUCUACUGUUCUCUUCUUGUUUCAUUUUAUUUUUUUUGGAUAACAGUGGUGUCCAGGUCAGCUUGGGCGCACCUCAACUAAUUCCAUAGGAUACCUACCACCUACCACCAACAAGUACAAAGUAACUUUAUCCACCAAGGCUAUGACAGAUAGAACAAUCACCUAGUGCUUUUGUCUCUGCUGGGAUCUGAACCAGAAACCUCACGGUUCUCAGCCCAGUUCAUUGACCACUAAGCCACACCCUUGGGUGUCUACUUUUCUCUUUUGGAACCAACCCUCGUCUACCAAAAAUAAUAAAGUAAAAUUGGAAAUAUCAGCCAAAUGUUUCAUAUUUUUGCACAUUCAAAAACUUGUACGCAGAAUAAAUUGUUAGCAUGAUCCAAGUAAUUCAGCAGCAAAGACCCUUAUUCCUAGCACUAACUCUGUUAAAGAAAAUAAGUCCAUUUACAUUUUAACAGUCCCCCAAAACCAACUGGGAAAUGUUGGCAUAAUCCAAAUCCAAUUACUUCAACGACAACCACUAUCCCCUUACAGUAAUGCUGUAAAAGGGAGACAACUGCUAUUUUGCAGUCCCCAAAACUAACUUGGAACAAAUGCAACUAGGACCUGUCAAGCAUAAAUGGAUGUGUCUACAGUGCAACUUUCGAGAUGCAUGAACAUAAAACCUAUUAAAUCUGUUGCUCAUUAAGACAAUGCACCGAGAUUUCUUAAAUAAAGAAAGAGAUAUAUGUGUCAAUGUAAGAAAAUGGCAUAUAUUUAGGCCCUAUUUGAGUCGCUCUAAGAAACAAGAUGGUAAGAUUAGCCAUCUUCAUCCAUAAAUUAGAGAAUAUUAACUUACAUCUUUUUUGUCAAAUGGCAUCAAAAAUGGGUCCCUAGCACUUAAACCAGCAACAACUGUCAGAACUGGAUCCAAGCAGUUGAAUACUACACCUAAUAUUAUCAUUUUCCCCAGUUUUGGCUCAACUGGAAGCAUUGAUAAGUUGUGUCCUACAGGAAAAUCCAGAAAUCAGGUUAUCUUUUCCCAAAAUAACAGUGAAGAAGCCCAAGGAGAAAAUGCAAAUUCAUAUAAUUCAGUAUGCUUUUACCAAGUACAGUCAGAUUUUCUUUCUCAUCUAGAGCCCCUAUAGUCUUCAAAUAGUCGAUAGCAUUUUGAACCUACAAAACAAUGAUAGCGAUUAUAUGAGGAUCAAAUUCACGACAAAACAAACAAGAUAUAUAUCCAUUAAGCAUAAGGUCAGGGAGCAAGAAUUGUCAAAGGAAGAAGUAUACUAGACAAUUUAAAUCCUGGUUUGAUUGAAAGGCAGAUGUUACAUAUUCUUCACCUGAUAGGAUGCACAUAUCUUUACCCGUGUUUUCAUGAACAGAAUGUGAAUUAAGAGAGUUCAAUGAUUUACCAGUCUAAACACAUAGAUGUGAUGUCAUAUGUGCAUAUUAGGUUGUUCGGUGUCACAAGCCAUUGGAAGUAUUGAAAUUUUAGAAAUGGAGUGCUUGCAAGUUCAUCACCUUUAACAUCCCUCCUGAUUAUUUCUCUCCCCAGACAAUUUAAACCAUUUCCUUCCAUUUUACUUACCCUCAUUCUCCACUUUCACUCCUACAAACCACCACAAACAUUCAAGAAACUAGGUGAAAGAGUCGGUCCCAACUUACAGAUAGUGGUUCUGGUGACUGCAUUGCCUUAGAUAGAAAGUCUGAAAUACUUCCCAGUUGCAAGCUUUUAAUCUGCAGACAUAGGGACUGUAAAGGUGUUCUCAGAAGCUCUGGCAGUUGAUAAUCUGCAAACGCUUCAUAUACACAUCUAGGAUAGAGAUGAUAGCACUCCCCAGGUUGAACACGGCCAGCUCUUCCUUUUCUCUGGAAAGUUAAAAGGGCAUUACUUAUGAUGUCGAUUCCACAGCACUAACUGAAUAGCUCAAAAGCACUAAAAAGCUGGGGUGGAGGACCUAUAUCCCGAAUUACAUAAGCUUUUUAAGUAUUGUAAAUGUUGAAGAAAGUAGAUCAUAUCUAUCUUACUUGUCGAGCAGACGCUUUUGAAAUCCAAGAAGGAAGCAAACAUGGAGUAUUGUUGAUUGCAUCAUAAGAUGUCUCUUUUGCCUUUCCACAGUCGACCACAAAAACCACGUCAUUUAUGGUGAUACUUGUUUCAGCCAUAUUGGUAGCUAACACAAUUUUCCUGAUUCCAUCUUCUGGCUUAUCAAAAAUCAAUUUCUGUUUGCACGCAAAUAGAGAUCAAAAGUUAAGAGGGUAGAACAAAAUGCAAAUUACAAGAAUAGCUAACAGAUUUAAGUUACAAAAAGAAUUUACUUAACCAUAAAUUAAUAUUUCCAAUAAAUUUAAAAGCUGCCGACUGAGCCAGGAUGAAACUCAAACUCAAUCGAUACCUACAGCUCUCAGGAUUAUUUCACAUGAAACUUUAAAAUGGAGGGUAAGCAAGAACCUAUCUGCGCCUCAGUUCCAUGAUAAUUGUUAAUUAAUGAUUUUUGUCAUCAAAACAUGUUUUCUGUAUUAGGAUGAAACUCAGAAAACAUUUUAACAGAGAUACCAUUAGAUACACAGUAAUUCAUUCUACAGCCCUCAAACAAAAGAAAGAGAAUUCAUUAAAUAAUUUAUAACAAAGAUAAGAAAGAAAAACAACAUCAACUACUCAUAAAAGAAAACUCCUUGACAACAGCUAAAACAACAUAAAACAGACAAGCUCCUCGACAAAAUCUCAACGUUUCUUGUCUGACAAACAAAAUCUCAAUAUUUCUUACCUCACUAGGACAAAGAUACUUCACCUUUAAAUCCAACGAAGUUGGCAUUAGCUUUUCACAGAUACUGGAAGGGCCCAGCAGAUUCAUAAAGCCAUAUAUGAUGUUCGAAAAUACUGAUUUUCUACAGAAGCUAAACGAAAAUAGAAACAACUACAGCUAAAGAUCAUAAAAGUUAACACUUCCUAACAAUCAAGCAACAAAUUAACAUUUCCAACUUGGCGUACCUGCUCCGCACUUGCCAUGGAACCAUGGCAUGAAAGCAGCAAAACUCUGCUUGGAUCCCCCAAAAGUGGAUGAGCCUGCAGCUGGUCCUUCACAGAAUUAAUGUCAUCCCACCCAGUCAUAAAAACCAACACAGCACCAGGCCUUUCAUUUCUACAAAUGUGACAAAGCACACGCUCAAUGAGGUUGAAGCCAAUUGAAUCAGGAUUCCAACAGGAUAGUGAAUCCCGAGUCAGAGGAUUAUACUGCCCAAAAUCAGCUGCUUCUAGCGCUUCCUGUUUCAAAGCUCAAGUUUCAAACAAAAUACAUAAUAUCGAUCCCAAUAUAACAGCACAGAGAUUCCAUACCUCAACAUCUGAAGCAAUUUGGGUCUUCCUCUUCCUAAUAGUCUGUUUCUGCAUUUUCCACAUCUUGUCUUGACCAUAAUUAUCAAUUUGAUUAUAUGGAGUUAACCGGUAUCUAGUCAUUUCCAAAAUAUUUUCCAGAAAAUGACUUCGAACUGGAUAAGUAAAACCCUGAUGAGAACAGAGAGAGAAAUUAGUCCCCCAAAAGGAACAAAAAGCAUUCUAUUUCUAGGAGGAUCAAGAACUCUAGAGCAGCUCAAAUACGAAGAUUGUGUCAUAAUCCUUUGGCCAUGCAAAUACAAAGGAUUCUAUAGUAUUGUUAAGUUGCAAAAUCCUAAAAUAAAUCAUGGAUAUAGUAACCUGAAUGAUCGUAAGAAAAGAAUGUUAUAAAUUAACACUGAGUGCAACUUCUUCAUUCCAUUUGUGUCUUAAAAUCAAGCAAGCAACCAACCAACUAAGCUUCAAUCCCAAAUUAGUCGAAGUCCGUUAUAUGAUGCUUCUUUAUCCAUUCUUUUCUUCUCCUUUUGGAAAAUCAAAACAAUUUUUGCCAAAUGCCAAGUCGGUUUAAAUGUAUUUUUACUAUAUUCAGGUCCAUUUCAUUCCAAUAGUAAAUAAUUUGUUUCAGGCAAAUUAGUACUUAUGUAAGAUAGAUAUUUUUCUAAAUUUCAUAUUAUUCCCAGACAAACAUAAAAGUCUCUAAUCAGAAUACAAAGAAUUCCUACAUAACUAGACCGUAAUUCCACCUAGACUGUGUCACAUAUAUAAAUCCUUUAUUCAUUAUGUUAAUAUUAUUAGAAGUCUACAUUGAUUCCAAAGUAUUCCAGGUUUCAGGAUGCAGCUUCCUUAAAUAUAAUUUUAGGUCUACCUAAUCUCUGUUUACCACAAUUCAUCAUCUUGGAUUAGUGCAUCUGAAGAUCCACUUAGAUAAGCAAAUAAUCUUAUGCAAUUUGUUGUUAGUGAUCAUUCACACUCUUGUCCAAUGGUGUAUGACCACGCAUCUAUCUGAAUAUUCACAUUUAUACAACUCUCAUGUUAUAGUCAUAUUGAGCCUACAAGGCCGAAUAACCCUAUGUAACAUUGAUGGUCACACAACUGUUCUAUAGAAUUUGUCCUUCACUAUGCAGGUAUCUUCCUAUAGCAUAGAAUGUCAAAGCACUCCUCCAUUCCAGCCAUCCUAUUUUUUUUCUACGUGUCACAACACCACAUAUACAGUCUAAGAGAAUAUCCUAGAAAACCAAUUCUAAGAAUUUAUCCUAUUCUCUUUAUAUCUUUUUCUUUUUCUUUUUGGCUGCAAAAAGGGUAUCAGGCUGUCAGCAUUUGAGCAGGUAUCACAUGAGUUAAAAGCCUGCAUCAUGGCAGACAAUGUUUUAAACCUUCAACUUACAGGAAUAUGGAUCAUUGGAGCACCACCAAAAUAGGAAGAGAAGAGCUCAGCAUUAAGUGUAGCACUCAUCAAAAUCAGCCUCAAUUCAGGUCGUCGGGGAAGGAGAUCUUUAAGGACAAUUAAAAGGAAAUCUGAAAGGAUAGACAAACUAUUGUCAGCAAAUUGAGGUACAAGAGUUUAGAAUAAAAAAAUAAAUGCAACAAUGCCAGGUGAGCAGAUACCUUCAUUCAUUCCACGCUCAUGAAUCUCAUCUACAAUAACGUGGGUGACACCUUCCAAUUUUCUAUCAACCAGUAAUCUCCUCAGAAGAAUACCAGUGGUGCAAAAUAAGAGGCGGGUAUCUCUCCCUCUCAUGCCCUCAAGCCGAACCUUAUAGCCCACCUACAAAAACGGAGAAAAUAACCAGAAAAAUACCAUUUUAUGAUCCCAUUGCAACACAUAUAUAAGAUAUAGAAAAAUCCAAAAACUCACAGAUUCUCCCAGAUUCUCCCCACGCUCUGCAGCAACUCUUUCAGCCACAGCCAUAGCAGAUAUCCUCCUUGGUUGAGUGCAAAUAAUAUUGCACGUAGCUCCAUGAGCAGCUUCUAUCUCAGCUUCUAAAAUAUACUGAGGCAAUUGGGUAGUCUUACCACACCCAGUUUCCCCAGAGACGACCACCACCUGCACAACUAAUUUCGGUCAGGACAUUCUUCAUGUGAACCAUUAUGCUAAUGAUAGGAAAGCAAGCGUCAAUUAGAUUAAAUUAUUCCUCAACACAUAAAUACUCUUCCACUCUAUUGAUAUUUUAAAAAAAAAAAGAACUAGACUAUCAGAUAGGCAGGUUAGCGCCCAUGUAGGAAUUUCUUUAUGGCUAUUUGCCUAUUUCCACUAUGCUACAAUGUCCACACAUAAAGUCACCACAAUUGUGCAUGAUUGUGAUUGAUUUAUUGGUCACUCAAAAUUGAAAGUGGAAGACUAAAAUCAAGCAAAAUAAGAAGUCUUUGAAGGAAGGCCUACUAUUAUUCCAUCUAAAAAUACAGCAACAGCCAAUCGAUACAAGCGAACAAGUCAACAGAAAUGCAAUAACCUGAUUCUCAGAAAUGGCUCUAAGCAAUGCCUCUCUCUCUUUAUAUGCAGGAAGAUUUCUUCGAAGUUCUCGCAUCUUCUGGCCUUCUGGAGAUUCCUACAAAAGAUGGCUGUCUGUCAAAUUGAUAUUUAGGAUACUGCACAAGGCAAGUUGUUUUGUUGCAGUACACAUUCAAGAGACAGCUUGAUAGUUACCUUUUACAAAAAAUUUACAAGUAUAUUACUGAUAACUUCAGAUCAAGCAUCCACUGGUAUACAGAUACCCACUUACCAUCAAAUAACUAAGAAUAAACUUCUAAAACCUUUGACAAAAGUAAAAUUACCUGCCAAAUAUCACGUAAACUUAAUUACCUUCAUCUAACUAUCAAGUGAACUUAAUUAAUUCAUUAAGAAGAAAAAUACAUCGACCAUCCAUUUUCUUCAGCACUAACUUUACAGAACCAAAUUUGCCGUAACAGUUGUUCACGGUUUGGUGUGGACUGCAUACACUUUACCUUCCCCAGACCCCACUUUGUGGGCAUACACUUAGUAUGUUGUUGUUGUAGUUGUUCACGGUUUGGUUAUUAUGUAUUUUGUCAUUUUUUGCUCUGUCCUUUUGUGAUAUAAAUUAUUGUGAAUUUGCACCCAGGGGUGUGGCCUAGUGGUUCAAUGGAGUUGGGUUGAGCAUCGUGAGGUCUCAGGUUCAAUUCCCAAACAAACAACACUAGGAGAUUUCUUCCCAUUUGUUCUAGCCAUGGUGGACAAAGUUACCUAGUACAUAGUGUUGGUGGGAGGUGGGAGGUGGCAGGUAUCGCGUGGAAUUAGUCAAGGUGCGCGAAAGCUGGCCCGGACACCACGGUUAUCAAAAAAAAAAAAAAAUUAUUGUGCAUUUUUGUUUUUACUUGUAGGAACGAAGAAAGGAUGGAGGACAGGGAAUCACAUUGAGCAUGGAGGAAUGUUUAAAGCAGGUAGAACUCAACCAGAAUGGUCCUUAAACUGAGGGUCUAUGAGAAACAACCUUUCUACCGCCCAACGUAAGGGUAAGGUCUAUGUACACACUACCCUCCCCAGGCCCCGCUUAUGGGAUUACACUUACACUGGUCAUCAAGCUCGACCAGAAUGGGAUAUAUUUAUGCAGUUCGCAUGUAUGGAAUACAAAAAUAGUCAUAAGACCACUUGAACCUCCCACUCCAAAUCAAUAAUUUAGAAUGAAUACCAUAAACAUGUGUAAUGGGUGCAACUGCAAAAGACCAAAGAAGUUAAAUGCUGUAAUGUGAAAGCAGUUCUGGAAGAACAGGAACCCUCUGGCCAUUUUAAAUGAGUCAAGAGAGUUUUGACUCUUUCGAGUAAUUCAACAUCCAAGAAGCAGUAAUGUGAUUUUACAAAAUGAUCAGCUAUCCCAAAAACACUUAAUACUUGGCAUAGAGACAUGGUAGUGAAAAAUAAAAAGCGGAAAUAUCUGGGAAGCAGCUGAAUUACAAUACAAGGCCAAGUCUCCUGGAAUAUGGUUGAAUUACUUUAUCCCUCUUAAUAAAGUUACCAUUUACCUCUUGAGGCUUCACUGGGAUCCAUUAAAGUGCCAAGCCAUUAGACAUUUUUUUAUGUUAACAACACCAAAAAUUUUCAAGGUUGCAAGAUCCAAACAUUUUGAAGAGAGAAGAAGAAGACAGAAGCCCAACAUGGUCCAACUGAAAGGAGAAAUAAGGUCUGAACAAGUACAACAUACAGAUAACAAUUGUGCACCAUGAGGCAAACAAAAAGCCUAGAAAUGAAACAAGUGUUAGUUGCAACAAUAUGGCAAAAGAUUGAAUAUUACCUCCCAAUCUUCUUGUUUGUUACGCAUCUCCAAGCUCCUUCGCUUGAGAAUUCUCUCCGCAACAACACUUCGAGCAAAUGGCUUCUCAUUCUCAUAAAGUUCUUUAUCAUUGGGAGAAUUGUUGCCAUUACUUCCUCUCAGUGAAGCAUUAUGUGCAAGGUUUUCCUUGUUUGUUGACUUUUUAGAAAGAUGUGCUUCAAGAAGAUCACCUACCCUACUUUGUAAUCCAUAAGGUAACACUACCUAAAAAAUCAAGCAAGAUGCAUCAAUUGAAGAACGUACUGAAAAAAGAAUGAUGCAUACAGAACAGACAGCCAGACAAAAAACUUCAUGUUAACUUAGUUACCUCUCUCUGUGGACGCUUAACAUCCAAAUCUGGCCUAUAAUUUGGCAAUGGCACUUUGCUACACACAACUGCUUUCUCAUACUGGCGGCUGCAUCAAAAUAUAUAAAUAUAUUAGGAUUUAAGCAACUCACAACAAAGUGAACAUAGAAAAAGAACUGAGCAUCCUUCUUUCUGACCAACCAUUGUCGGAAACUAAAGUAAAUGUUAAGGAAAUUUGAUAUACCAGUGUAAACCCAUUCUAGUUGCCACAGCUGAUAUAUGCUCAAAAUCACGGCGGUCCUUUUUUUCCCUUGAGACCACUUCUUGGUUAUCCUUUUUGCGCAUUAGCAUGCUUAACUUCCACCUCCAUUCUUCGAUGUUAUGAAGGGUAGAUUCACCCUAGAGUUGACAACAUAUGAAAGUGAGAAAGGAUAAGCUUUCUUUUUCUUUGAAAAGAAAAAAAUGUACGAGCUUUUAAAUUUAAAUGAACACAAGAAGACUUUUCCCAACUCAAAAACAACUGCCCAGUCUGAUAAGAUUACAGAGGAAUAUAAGUCCCCAAAAAUUACUCCUUCUGUUUCAAUUUGUGUGUCCUACACUCCUACUUUCCUUUUUAGUCUAUUUCAAAAAGAAAGUCUUUUCCCCUUUUUAGCAACUCUUUAAUUUCAGUUUUCUAUCUCGCAUGUUUAAGACCACAGGAAUAAAGAACAUUUUGAUACAUUCUGCUGCAUAUCUUAAUUAAAGACCACGAGAUUGAAAAGUCCUUUUUACUUUCUUAAACUCUGCGUAAAGUCAAAAUAGGGCAAUCAAAUUGAAACCAAGGGAGUAAAUGCUAACGGAAAAUGGUUGAAUCAAUGCCAACAGAACUGCAGAAGUAGCAGAUUUUGAAUUAGUCCAACCAAAUACACUUACCAAUUCUCCGCCCCGAACAUCAAGGUAGAAUUUUUUACUACCGUACUAGAACCCUAGAAACAAAAUGAAUGUUAAUUAAAAGUGGUAGCAGACUCACCAAUUGCUUAGACGACUCAGUAUCUCGAUCAGACUCAGAGUCAGACUCGCAUUCAUCAUAAGCAAACCGUCCAUACCCCAAAUUCUGCUGAUAAAAAUACGGAGAAGGAUAAGAAGAAGAAGAAGAGGAAGAAAGACCACGUCUUUUCCGCCUCAACACGACAGACGUCGACGAAGGGGCUUUAGCUGAACAAAAGAAUCCAAUACUUGGAUGAAGGCAACGUCUUUGAGGUAUUAGAAAAGGGUUAGUUCGAAAGUUGAAUUGAAGAGAAGUGGAAUACAUAGUGGCCAGAAAUUGGCUGGCCUUGAGCCUCACUUUGAGCAUGGCGAUGCUUAAGGAUUUAUGGUGAAAGACGCAUUGAUUAGUGGUUAGGGUUUAAGGAAGGGGAAUAAAAUGAGGAAUGGGUAGGAGGUGUCUGCAUAAUAGUCACACAAAGGGAAGGAGGUGUCUGCAGCAGCUGAGCAAGCAUUCUUGUAAUUGGCUGGUGAAAAUUUUUCAUAGUAAGGGGACUGUGUUUUCAUCUUGUGGGGACUUUUUUUUUCCCUUACUUAUUUAGUGUUCAAUUUUUGUAUCCUAAUUCGACCAGUUUAAAUUUUUGCUAUAUAAAAUUAUUAGAUCAAAAUGCUUUAUAUCAAGAAUAUUUUGCAAAUAUCUUUGGAGAUAUGUGUUAGAAGGUUGGUAAAUGUUUUAACUCUCUAUUCGUGAGUUACCAAUUAAGUUGAAGUCACACUAACGAUUGUUAUGAUUGAUUUAUAAAAUAUUUCUAUAAUUAUUUUUUCAUAAUAUAUGAAUCGACAUUUCAUAUCUAAUAAAUUCACCUCUAUUAUUCUUCACUUGAUAGAAACUACUCACUUGCAAGUUUCACAUAAUCAAAUGCACUAAGGGAUCGUUUGGUAGAGUGUAUUGGAAAGUUAAUACAUGCAUUAGCUUAAUGUGUAUUAGUAGUAUUUUAUUUGAUAUAUCAUUUUAUCCUAUGUAUAACUAAUACUCCAUUGCGUAUUGAGGCGUGUAUUACUAAUACCUUAAAAUUCAUAGCAUUAGUAAUGCAUGCAUUAACAUACUUAAAGAUACUACUAUCCCUCAAAAAAAUUCCACAUCAUUUUCAACAUAUAUAUUAAGAGUAUUAUAUAAAAAUAAAUAAAUAUUGAAAUUAUGUAACUCAUGUUAUUUUUAAUAUAUCGAACCAAACAUUGCAUAAGAAAAAUACAAGCAUAAUUAAUGCAAGUAUAACUAACACAAGCAUUGUUAAUACAAGUAUUAUUAAUACACCAUAUUUUGCAUUAUUCUUAUACACUAAACGACUCCGUAUGAAUAAGCAUAUUUAUAUAAACUUUUUUCCUUUACUCGUGAUCAAUUGAUGAGAGUAUCAUGAGUUCUUAAUUUCAUAUCAUAACAUAUUUUUCAGGCUAAAUACAUAUACAGGCUUCGUAACAAUUUCACUUUUUUCGUAUAGGCACCUCAAUUAAAACAGAUACUUAUUGAACCCUUUAUUCCUUUAUAAAAUUAUCAAUUGAACACAAUCGCUGAUGUGACAUAAUGCGUGCACUGCACUCAAUUUAAGAGCGUGAAACAUUAAAUUUUAGUUAGUUUUUUUUUUUAAUCUCUUUAUUUUUUUUAUUUUUCUUAAUUAUCUCAUUUCUCAUAUUUUUUAUUUUUAAAAAUACUUGCCCCUCAACUACUAUUCUUCUUCUUCAUUUCCCUUCUUCUUCAUUUUCUCGAACAAAUGUCACCAAAUCCUUCUUCUCUUUCCUUUACAUUUCAAGCUAUUCUUGAACAAGCAAUGCGUGAUGAAAAAGAAGCUGAUGUACCUAGUAAGCUUUUUGAACUUUUUUGUUUUGCUAAAGAGGAGAAAAUCCUUUAUCGAUUAAUGCUGCGACACUUCUUAUACGAUGCUUUGGACGAGCUAAAAUGCUCGAGGAAGCGGUAUCAGUGUAUAAAGAGCUUGAUUCAUAUUCAAGAAACACGAGUGUGAUUAAUUUGUUGUUAGAUUGUUUGCUUUGUGGAGGGAAUAUUGAUCGUGGGUUCAAGGUGUUCGAUGAAAUGCUUAAAAGGGAUAGUGAUGUUCCUCCGAACAAUACUACGGAUAUCGUUUUGUCUGCUAUGUGGAAAAGGAUUUGGGUUGAGAAAAUGAUGAGCGUGGAGGAAAUUUAUGAACUUCUUGUGAGAUUCUUUGAGCAUGGUGUUUUUUUGGAUGAUGUAUGAUUUACCAAAUUGAUUACCUAGUUUUGUCGAAGUGGGAAAUGCGAUAAGGCCUGACACUUUUUACAUGAUUUACAGGGUUGAUGAGGCAUUGCAGGUGUUUGAGCAGAUGAGAGGGAGUGAAACUGAUAGCGUUCUUGUUAAGCCAUUUUUCUCCUUUCUCAAUUGAAAGGGAAGAGGGAAAUGAGGUAUGUGUAUUUGGAAGAAGAAAAGUAAAGAAGGGAAAGGGGAAAUGAGGUCUGUGUAUUUGGAAGGAAAGAGGGGAAGUGGGGGGGGGGGGUGUGGGGGUGGUUAAUGUUCUUUUUUUUAAAUUUAAAUUUAAUUAUAUUAAAAAAUUAUUUUAAGUUAAAAUACCACGUGUCGUUGUUUGAUUUGUCAUUUUGCUACGUCAUUGGUGUGUGUAGUAUACACAUUUUACUUUUUUGGUCACGUCAAUAAAUUGGGCUCAAUUAAAACAAUUUGUGAAGGAGUAAGGGGUUUAAUAGGUACCUAACUUAAUUGAGAUGUCUAUACGAAAAAACUGAAAUAGUUCAGAAACAUAUAUUUAUAUAUAUAUUCCGUUUAUUUUUCAAAUACAAUAAAGUAAUAUUGUUAAAUACAUACAUUGAGUGCAAGUAAUUAUUUUAGCAUACAUAAACCUUUUAUAUUAUUUUGUACUCAACUAAAUUUGAAUUUAAUCCUGAAAAGUAAAGUUCUAUCUAACAAAAAGGACUUUAUAUUUAUAAUCCAAAAUUUAAUUAUAUAAAUACUCACCCCAUUCCAUCAAAACGAAUGGAUACCUGGUUAAAUCGUGGUGGGAACAGAAUAAAAAGAUUGAGCAAGGGUAGAAACGGAAUUAAAAAAAAAAAGAAAAAAUAUCAGUGAACCCUCUAGAAGGGUAAAAGCCCCAAAGCCUCCAACAAUUCUCUAUACUUCGCUAGGGUUUUGAAACACUUCUCAUUUUCCCACUCACUCGGAAUCAUCUCGAUCUCGUAUAUAUCUAGGGUUCCGUCAAUCCUGAUCUGAAAAUGGCAUCUCCGGCAGUAGUUUCUGCACCACGCGCCGCCGCAGCCGCCGCUUCAUCGUCCAAAACUGAAACCUUUGUCGACAACAAACGCAAAGAUGAUAUCCGCAUGGCAAACAUUGCCGCCGCUCAGGCGGUGGCUAACGCCGUCCGUACUAGUCUUGGACCUAAAGGAAUGGACAAAAUGAUCUCCACUGCUAACGGAGAGGUUAUUAUCACUAACGAUGGAGCAACAAUUUUGAACAAAAUGGAGGUUCUUCAACCUGCUGCUAAGUUUCUCGUUGAGUUAUCGAAAUCUCAAGACGUCGUCGCCGGAGAUGGAACUACUACCGUUGUUGUUAUUGCUGGUGCGUUGUUGAAACAGUGUCUUUCGCUUCUUUCUGCUGGCAUUCACCCAACUGUUGUUUCGGAUUCUCUGCACAAGGCGUCUACUAAGGCUGUUGAAGUUCUUACAGCUAUGGCUUUACCAGUUGAGCUUACCGACCGCGAUUCUCUUGUGAAAUCAGCAAGCACGGCGCUUAACAGUAAGGUAGUUUCUCAAUAUUCCACUCUUUUAGCUCCUUUAGCUGUUGAUUCCGUGCUUUCUGUUGUGGACCCUGAAAACCCAGAGAUUGUUGAUUUAAGGGAUAUUAGAGUUGUUAAGAAAUUGGGAGGUACUGUUGAUGAUACUGAGUUGGUUAAGGGUUUGGUUUUUGAUAAGAAGGUUAGUCAUGCCUCGGGGGGUUUGACACGAGUUGAGAAAGCUAAGAUUGGAGUGAUUCAGUUUCAGAUUUCCCCUCCUAAGACUGAUAUUGAGCAGAGCAUUGUGGUUUCUGAUUAUACUCAAAUGGACAGGAUUUUGAAAGAAGAGAGGAACUACAUUUUGGGCAUGAUUAAGAAGAUUAAAGCAACUGGUUGUAAUGUUUUGUUGAUUCAGAAGAGUAUUUUGAGGGAUGCUGUGACUGAAUUGUCUCUGCAUUAUUUGUCCAAGGCAAAAAUUAUGGUGAUUAAAGAUGUUGAGAGGGAUGAGAUUGAGUUCAUUACCAAGACAUUAAGCUCUCUGCCUAUUGCUAAUAUUGAUCAUUUCAGAGCAGAGAAACUUGGCCAUGCAGAUUUGGUUGAAGAGAUAUCUCUUGGGGAUGGUGGAAAGAUUGUGAAGAUCACAGGGAUUCAGAACAUGGGCAGGACCACUUCAGUGCUGGUUCGCGGGUCUAACCAGUUGGUCCUUGAUGAGGCUGAGAGGAGUUUGCAUGAUGCGUUGUGUGUGGUAAGAUGUUUGGUGAACAAGAGGUUUUUGAUUGCAGGUGGUGGGGCACCUGAGAUUGAGCUUUCUAGGCAGCUGGGUGCAUGGGCAAAGGUUUUACAGGGGAUGGAAGGGUACUGUGUGAGGUCAUUUGCUGAAGCCCUUGAAGUCAUUCCCUAUACUUUGGCUGAGAAUGCUGGGUUGAACCCAAUUGCAAUCGUGACUGAGUUGAGGAACAGGCACGCUCAGGGCGAGAUCAACACAGGGAUCAAUGUGAGGAAGGGGCAGAUCACUAACAUUUUGGAGGAGAAUGUGGUGCAACCAUUGCUGGUGAGCACAAGUGCAAUUACCUUGGCUACUGAAUGCGUACGGAUGAUUUUGAAGAUUGAUGAUAUUGUUACAGUGAGGUAGAGUGAUGUCAUGUGAAAUCGCAGAAAACUUAGAAGUGUUUUGUCAUAUCUUUGAUUUUCAAUUUGUGUGCUUCAAGAAUUAGUGGUCCUCUGGUUCUUCUCUAUUUCGGAUUAUAUGCUGAAUUUUCACUUUUUCGUAGCUAAUUUUUACUCGUGCAGUUUUCCGUUUCACUUGUUAAGUGCACGACACUUCUUCAUUUUGAUUGAUUGACAUGAUGCAGUAUGUAAUAUGUGGAUCACUAUCAGUUUAUCAAUAUUUUCGUCCAGCAAUUUAUGUUCCAAUUAGUUAUCAAAUGGUGCUUCCUGUUUUCACUUUUAUCUAAAUCAUGUGCUUCUUGCCCUUUGCUGUCUUAUGAUCUACCAAGAGAGCUUGUGAUCUCUUUUAUGUUGGUGUGUGCUGACAAGUGUUCUCAGGCACUAUCUACUUAUUUGCCCAUGGGAAAAUUGUGAGUCUGGUCCAGUUUUGAUAUCUAAUUUCACAUUACAUAUUUAUAUGCUAAGAUUUAGUUGGAGCAAGAUCACCCUGAGCCUAGUCUACUCAGUUCACUUAUGUAUGAAGAAUCUGUGUUCUGUAGCCACUGACAAUUGAGGUAUGGUAAUAGUGGUGUAAGCCCAACUAAUAUUACAUUGUUAAAGUUGUGAGAUGUCAGCUGCGAUCUAUCAGGUUUUUCCUCUGACUGGGUUUUGAAAUGAAAGGAUUCUGUUUAGUGUCAGAUUCUUUAGUUGUUUCUCCAAUUCCCAAUUGAGAUCAAGAAUUGUUAGCAUCUUUAGAGUAGGACUUCAGUGGGAUUCAGCUGGAUGAGGUUUAGGUUUUAUCUAUUUACAGAUGAAGAUUAAAGUUCACAGUUUCCAUCAUUAUCAAGCUGAAUAUUCAUUCUCACCUACAACUAAUAUGCCCACGAUUCCCAAUGAAAUCUAUGACAGAAACCUCAGGUUACUCAUUGUCUUGAAAUAAGUGUUGAAUUUUCAUUUUAAACUUUUUUCCGUGCUUAUGUUUGGAGGGCAAAUGCUGAGGCACUUUGGUUUUGCUGUGUUGAUCAGUUCUAUAGCCAGCUUUUACCUGAAAGCUGCGUGGUAACUAGGACUUCUUUAGUCUGACCGGCUCAGCACACUCAACUUUGAGUCCUUUGGGUCAUUCAUUGUAUUAGUUGUUAAUGGACCGUGCAAACUUCAUCUUCCCAUAAAAGCAGAUUUGCAUGGCAAGAUAGUUGGGAAUGGUCAAGAGUUUGCUCGAAAACCAUUUUUGAAGUAGUACGCUACCUUUUCUUUAGGUGUUUUUUUCAUCAUAGUGUCUAGGCCAACUUGCAGGCACCUCUACUUUUCUGCCCAGUUCGUGCUAACCUCAAGUGUUCUAUGAGGUGCUCUAUAAUGCUACGAGAAUAUGGUUACCACAUCAUAGACUGGGUCCUCUUCAAGUAGGCCAGUUAGUCUGCUCUUUCUGAAAGAUUGGCUAUACUUUAAGAAUGUGUGUCAAGAACAUGCACAUUUAGGCUUUCAAUACAUAAAAUGAAUCCUUUUAGGGUUUAUAGUAUAUAUUAUGUUUUUUACCUUGUUUCACUUAAAUUUGAAGUAGCGGGAUUGUGUUUGAUAUGUCAUCUGAACUCUGAAGUUGUCACGACCCGAUUUCUUAAGUUGUGAUGGCGCCUACCUUAUCCCCAGUAGGCAAGCCAAGCCAUGGCCCAGAAUAAUAGAUAACGGGCUAAUAGGCAGAAAUCAGAAAAGAUCGCGUAUAAUGAUAACAAUAUUAAUAACAAGCAGCAAACAGAAAGGAAACAUAUGUCAUAUAUUAAAACGAGGGAAGGAAAAGGAUCAAACACACAAACGAAUUCCUUCCAAAACUUGGUAAGGUCGGUACUAGAGCCAAUACUAAAAUAUAUCCAGAGUACUAAACAGAGUCCAAAAUAUAUACCCAAUAUAUAUAAGCAAUCUCGAGUACAAAAGACUAAACUAGAGUAGAUAGAGGUGGUGGGGCACCUGAGAUUGAGCUUUCUAGGCAGCUGGGUGCAUGGGCAAAGGUUUUACAGGGGAUGGAAGGGUACUGUGUGAGGUCAUUUGCUGAAGCCCUUGAAGUCAUUCCCUAUACUUUGGCUGAGAAUGCUGGGUUGAACCCAAUUGCAAUCGUGACUGAGUUGAGGAACAGGCACGCUCAGGGCGAGAUCAACACAGGGAUCAAUGUGAGGAAGGGGCAGAUCACUAACAUUUUGGAGGAGAAUGUGGUGCAACCAUUGCUGGUGAGCACAAGUGCAAUUACCUUGGCUACUGAAUGCGUACGGAUGAUUUUGAAGAUUGAUGAUAUUGUUACAGUGAGGUAGAGUGAUGUCAUGUGAAAUCGCAGAAAACUUAGAAGUGUUUUGUCAUAUCUUUGAUUUUCAAUUUGUGUGCUUCAAGAAUUAGUGGUCCUCUGGUUCUUCUCUAUUUCGGAUUAUAUGCUGAAUUUUCACUUUUUCGUAGCUAAUUUUUACUCGUGCAGUUUUCCGUUUCACUUGUUAAGUGCACGACACUUCUUCAUUUUGAUUGAUUGACAUGAUGCAGUAUGUAAUAUGUGGAUCACUAUCAGUUUAUCAAUAUUUUCGUCCAGCAAUUUAUGUUCCAAUUAGUUAUCAAAUGGUGCUUCCUGUUUUCACUUUUAUCUAAAUCAUGUGCUUCUUGCCCUUUGCUGUCUUAUGAUCUACCAAGAGAGCUUGUGAUCUCUUUUAUGUUGGUGUGUGCUGACAAGUGUUCUCAGGCACUAUCUACUUAUUUGCCCAUGGGAAAAUUGUGAGUCUGGUCCAGUUUUGAUAUCUAAUUUCACAUUACAUAUUUAUAUGCUAAGAUUUAGUUGGAGCAAGAUCACCCUGAGCCUAGUCUACUCAGUUCACUUAUGUAUGAAGAAUCUGUGUUCUGUAGCCACUGACAAUUGAGGUAUGGUAAUAGUGGUGUAAGCCCAACUAAUAUUACAUUGUUAAAGUUGUGAGAUGUCAGCUGCGAUCUAUCAGGUUUUUCCUCUGACUGGGUUUUGAAAUGAAAGGAUUCUGUUUAGUGUCAGAUUCUUUAGUUGUUUCUCCAAUUCCCAAUUGAGAUCAAGAAUUGUUAGCAUCUUUAGAGUAGGACUUCAGUGGGAUUCAGCUGGAUGAGGUUUAGGUUUUAUCUAUUUACAGAUGAAGAUUAAAGUUCACAGUUUCCAUCAUUAUCAAGCUGAAUAUUCAUUCUCACCUACAACUAAUAUGCCCACGAUUCCCAAUGAAAUCUAUGACAGAAACCUCAGGUUACUCAUUGUCUUGAAAUAAGUGUUGAAUUUUCAUUUUAAACUUUUUUCCGUGCUUAUGUUUGGAGGGCAAAUGCUGAGGCACUUUGGUUUUGCUGUGUUGAUCAGUUCUAUAGCCAGCUUUUACCUGAAAGCUGCGUGGUAACUAGGACUUCUUUAGUCUGACCGGCUCAGCACACUCAACUUUGAGUCCUUUGGGUCAUUCAUUGUAUUAGUUGUUAAUGGACCGUGCAAACUUCAUCUUCCCAUAAAAGCAGAUUUGCAUGGCAAGAUAGUUGGGAAUGGUCAAGAGUUUGCUCGAAAACCAUUUUUGAAGUAGUACGCUACCUUUUCUUUAGGUGUUUUUUUCAUCAUAGUGUCUAGGCCAACUUGCAGGCACCUCUACUUUUCUGCCCAGUUCGUGCUAACCUCAAGUGUUCUAUGAGGUGCUCUAUAAUGCUACGAGAAUAUGGUUACCACAUCAUAGACUGGGUCCUCUUCAAGUAGGCCAGUUAGUCUGCUCUUUCUGAAAGAUUGGCUAUACUUUAAGAAUGUGUGUCAAGAACAUGCACAUUUAGGCUUUCAAUACAUAAAAUGAAUCCUUUUAGGGUUUAUAGUAUAUAUUAUGUUUUUUACCUUGUUUCACUUAAAUUUGAAGUAGCGGGAUUGUGUUUGAUAUGUCAUCUGAACUCUGAAGUUGUCACGACCCCGAUUUCUAAGUUGUGAUGGCGCCUACCUUAUCCCCAGUAGGCAAGCCAAGCCAUGGCCCAGAAUAAUAGAUAACGGGCUAAUAGGCAGAAAUCAGAAAAGAUCGCGUAUAAUGAUAACAAUAUUAAUAACAAGCAGCAAACAGAAAGGAAACAUAUGUCAUAUAUUAAAACGAGGGAAGGAAAAGGAUCAAACACACAAACGAAUUCCUUCCAAAACUUGGUAAGGUCGGUACUAGAGCCAAUACUAAAAUAUAUCCAGAGUACUAAACAGAGUCCAAAAUAUAUACCCAAUAUAUAUAAGCAAUCUCGAGUACAAAAGACUAAACUAGAGUAGAUAGAUGAGGAUCAACCUCGGACGACAGUAAGCUCACCUUGCUUCGAAUUAGUACUGGAAGGUAGGAAUUACGUCAAUGUCGGCUGUUACUACUCGGAUCUGCAUCAGGGAAAAGAUGCAAAAGUGUAGUAUGAGUACUAAAGCAACGGGUACUCAAUAGGCAUCAUCGGCCGACUGAGCUCAAUACAAAAAUGUAUAACUACAAUGCGAGGGCGUAGUUUGAGUCAUUAGUAAAUAGGGAUGGAAAAGUAAACAACUACAAGCUACACAAACGUUGUAAAGGAAUAAAUAUAAGCGAUACAGAAAAUAAAUAAUGCAGUAAUAACAGACAAAUCAAACAUAAUCUAACUGGGCCCCUAUAAGCCCGCCAGACAUACUGAAGAAGACAAUUAACCCAACCGCACCCUCAUAAGUCGGUGGGACACACAAUAAGUAAUGAAAAUAAACAUAAAUAAUCUGUAACUGAGCUGAUCUUAAGAAAUCAUGAUUGUCAUCCAGAUGUGCACCGGAAUUGAACCAACACUAAUGGGUAGUAAUGAGAGGCCAGAUAUCGGUAGUGAUGGAUAAUAACAAGAGAACACGUACCGGAUUCGAAUCAAACAUAGUGGGUAAUAAUGAGAGGCCACAUAUAUAGAACCCAUAAUAGCAAUAAUAAUCAAAUGCCAGACUCGAACCGGAACUCAUAGUAAUCAUAAUAAUCAAAUGCCGGACUCGAACAUAGUAACCAUAAUAAUCAAAUGUCGGAUUCGAACCAGAACUCAUAGUAACCAUACCCAUCUAUAAUAUCAAAAUCCAUACCAUUCCAUAACAAUGUCAAUGUAGUAUAAAAGUUCACAAUCAAUGACAGAAAUAAAAUAUAUACUGAACCUGAACAGAAGCUAAAAUACGUCUAAUUGUCGUAUGCAUGUCAUAAUUUUAAAAGGGUAAAUUCAAGGUUUUGCAAUUUAAUUUCACGUCCUUAAGUGAUAGAUGCUAUAUUGUAUCGAAAGACAAAAUACCAAAAUCUACUAGAACGGGGUCCUAAUCCGGAUAAAUAAGUCAGGUUAUAUAUCUAUCUAAUAAUACGCAACUACAAGCACUUAUCCAAAACUAACAUAAUAGUUCACAAUUUUAGUAUAUAAGCUCAAUCUAAAGGUAGGACAAGUUUAGCCUACGUGGACGCCAAAACUAAAAAUUCCUCCGAAAAACCUCUGAAUGAUGCCCCACUAAAACCCGAACUUAAUUUACCAUCUCCGCAUAAAACAUUAACAUACUAUAAGAAGUUAUUAUAAAGUAAUAUACACAUAUCAUAAUUAACGAACUUUUAUAAGGUUAAAAAUAUUCUAGAAGGGUAAUAGAUUAUUUUUCUACCAAAUGCCAAUCUAAAUUAAAUGAUCCACAAUAUAUUAGAUAUUACUAAAAUUUUUAAACGACCCGCCUAGGAAUCGAACUAUCAGUCCCAACAAGUCAUAAAUAACUUGGGCCAUUUAUAAAAAGCUCUGCAUAUCGAAAACGUGUUAAAAUACAUAAAAAUGACCGUGAGUGUCAUUACAACAUUCACUACUAAAACGACUUUCGUCCACGAAAGUAAAAGAUAAGAAAAUACCUGAAGGCUCAAACAAAUAGGGAUGCUGGCGUGCAAAUCACGCUUGGGAGAAAGGCCAGGUAGGUCGGCCUGAAACACAUCAGGAAACUCGCAAACCACAGGCACGGAGUCACGCAAUAGACUCUCAACACUAACAUCCCGAACAUAUGCAAGAAAUGACUCACAACCUCUCGAUAUCAGUCUCAUACCCCGAAUGUACGAAAUAAUUUCCAUCGGUGCACGACUAAUCGAACCCUGCUACACAACUGGGGGUACGCCAGACAAGGCUAAAGUAACGGUCUUAGCAAAACAAUCCAAGAUCGCAUGGUAAGGAGAUAGCCAAUCUAUGCCUAGAAUCACAUCAAAAUCUACCAUAUCUAGGACAAUGAGGUCAACCUGAGUAUCAAACUCCCGAAUAAUCACCAAACACGAUCUAUAUACCCGAUCCACUACUAAAGAAUUACUCAGAGGGAUGACUAUAUGCAAUAGCACAAAUAAAGACUCUGAACAUAAACCCAAUCGCGAUGCAAAAUAAGCAGAAGCAUAUGAAAAUGUGGAACCGGGAUCAAACAAAGCAAAAGUUGGCCGAUGGCAUACGAAAAUCGUACCUGUGAUCAUAACAUUCGAAGCCUCAGCCCCUGAUCUAUCUGGCAGAGCAUACAAAUGACCCUGUCCACUACUGGACUGGGUGCCUGUCCGACCACCUAUCUUACCUCCCUGCAAACUACCUCUAGAACCCUGGGGACCAUCUCCACGACUCUGCGCAUCACCCCUACCUAACGGCGGCAUUGACCUAAUCAGCUGUGCAGUCAAAACUGAAGGCUCAAUCAUCCUACGUUGAGGACACUCACGGGCUAAUGACCAACAACCCCGCAGUCAUAACAUGCCUCGGGCACCCUACUAUGUCUGAAAGAUCCAGCGGAUCCGGAAUGGACACCCUGGUUUGACGAUCCUGACUGAACACCCCUCUGUGACUGGCUGCUGCUCUGACUACUGGAACUACUAAAAUCGAAAUGACCCCAAUCUGAUAUCUAAAGGGAUGCCUAAAUUGGCCGACGAGGCUGACCCUGAUGCUGAGAAGGCUGCUGCUGAGGGUACCUACCAUGAAAUCCUCGGCCUGAACUAUUGUAGCUGCCCUGGUAACAUGGUCUCUUAUCGCUACACCCUUGGGCCUCAUGAUUCAUCUCUUCUAUAGAAUAAACAUGCUCAACUAUCUCAGAAAAAGACUUCCCCGAAGUCACCAAACUCUGUGUAGCCCUACGAAGUGAUAGUCUCAAUCCCCUGACGAAGCAUCAAAUCCGCCCAUACUCCGUAGGCAAAAUCAUAGUGGCGUGUCUGGCUAACUCAUAGAAUCUCGCCUCAUACUCAGCCAUAGAUAUAGAACCCUGUUUCAAUGCUGUAAACUCAUCUCGACGACGCUCGCGUAUGCUGCGUGGCAUUUACUUCCCUAAGAAAACCUCAGAGAACUGAGUCCAAGUCACUGGUGGAGAUCCAACUGACUUGGAAUCAAGAUAACCUUUCCACCGCCCCCUCACUACCGUGUCGAACUAAUAAGCAAUAAAGUCCACUCCUGGAGCCUCAACCAAACCCAAAUUCCGCAACCGCUCCUCGCAACUGGAUAAGAACUCAUUAGCAUCCUCCCUUGGUGUCCCGGUAAACCUGGGUGGAGUCAAUCUGAAAAAUCGGCCCAACAUCUUUUGCUCCUUUGAAGACAUAACUGGCUGGGCUACUGCCGACUGUGGGACUACUGGUGCUGGUGGAACCACCACCCUAGGCGCCACUGCCGCAGGUUGUGCUCCUAAAUUAACUCUACUCUGUACUGCUGGCUGAGCUCCCUCGGUCGGUGGACCACCAACUAACCUCGAUAACUGUACCAACUCAUCUCGAAGGAUCGAAGAAGAUAUAAAAUCGGGUGGAUCCUGGGCUACCCCCUGGCCCACCUACUGCUGCGGCGGAAAACUUGGAGCGCUCUCAGUCUCUGGAGCUAUGACAGGACCAGAUGAUGAAUCCCUGGCCUGAUCUCGAACUGGGGCUGCUGUUCUGUCCUACCCCCGACCUUUGGGUCGACCUCUACCCCAAGCUGGAACUCUAGCAGUGGGCUCGGGGUCUGAAUCCCCAGCUCUCAAACCUCGCGUCCUAGCCAUCUGUGUAAAGAGUGUACCAAUAAAAAUUACAACCAGCUCAGACCCAACGCACGAAAAUGGAUCAAGAAAAAUGAGAUUUUUCCUCGAAAUGCUCUGUAACCUCCUAAGGAUAGGAUACAGACGUCUUCGUACCGAUUUGCGAGACUCUACUAAACAUCAACUCCAAUACUAACAAUACUAGUGAGACCUAAGCUUUGAUACUAAGUUGUCACGACCCGAUUUCUCAAGUCGUGAUGGCGCCUACCUUAUCCCCCAGUAGGCAAGCCAUGCCAUAGCCUGGAAUAAUAGGUAACGGGCUAAUAGACAGAAAUAAAAAAAGAUUGCAUAUAAUGAUAACAAUAGUAAUAACAAGUAACAAACAGAAAGGAAACAUAUAUCAGAUAUUAAAACGAGGGAAGAAAAAUGACCAAACACACAAAUGAAUCCCUCCUAAGACCUGAUAAGGUCGGUAUUAGAGCCAAUACUAAAAUAUAUCCAAAGUACUAGACAGAGUCCAAAAUAUAUACCCAAUAUAUAUAUAAACAGUCUCGAGUACAAAAGACUAAACUAGAGUGGAUAGAGGGGGAUUAACCUUGGACGAUAGUAAGCUCACCCUGCUCUAAAUCAGUACUGGAAGGUAGGAAUCGCGUCAAUGUCGCCUGCUACUACUCGGAUCUGCAUCAGGAAAAAGAUGCAGAAGUGUAGUAUGAGUACCAAAGCAACAGGUACUCAGUUGGCAUCAGUGGCCGUUGGCUUUGGACAUCCAAUCCUUAGCUAACAUCAUGGUUUGUUUGGAUAUUUCUGACCCUCGGGGAAUCAUUGCUAGUGUUGAGGCCAGAUCUACCUUGUUGGAGCAGAUUCGAGCUCGUCAGUUCGAGGAUAGCAGGCUUCGUAGCACUCGUGGGCAGGUGUUGAGGGGUGAGUCUCAGCGGGCUACUCUAGAUUCUGAGGGUGUGAUACACUACAAACUUGGAAAGUACCGAAAUCAGCCAACAACAAACUAGUUUUAACAACACAACCCAAGAACUAGUGGAAACAAGCCCUAAAACGUGAAGAACACAAGAUUAACGAGUUGACAAAGAUGUAACAAUACGAAAACAGUGGCUACACGAGAUGAACAACAAUAUAACAAUAACAAUAACCAACGGCCUAAAAGAAUAGAGAGACACGACCUAAAAGUCCUACCUCAAAGAGACUUAUGCCAUCAUUUUCAACAUUUCCAUAUGCAUGAUUUCUAUGAACAAAACAACUAGUAAGGCUUUUACCACACAAGAUGUUCAAAGAGUCACGUGCACCAUCAAGAUCAACUCUAUAAACACUAUCACUAACUUAGAUUUUUCAAGCACACCACACACAUGCUCAAGUAGUGGAAUACAUUCAUGAGCAAGUUGAUCUUCAUUCACAUCUUCACUAGUUGUUGGCAAAUCACAUACCAACGUAGACUCACCUUGGUUCACACAAGGGUCAACUAGUGUGUGAAUACCCUCGUUAAUUGGUAAUGAAGCCUUACUCGAGUUAUAAGGGCUAGUACUAGAUGGACACAAAUUAUUCUUGAAAGAAGAAUCAAUUUCGUCAUCUAAAGGAUCAACUAGUGCUUGUGUACUUACAACAAGUGUUUGAUCCUCCCGCGACCUAACAUCACUAAGAGUAUUACAAAGGACGACUCAAAGACUUUUACUUUAGGUAAAUCCGCAACUACACCCUUUUGGCUGUUACUAGCCACACCACAACAAUCGACAUUUAUGGUAAUGUAGGAAGUAGUGCUUUUACCUUGGUGUGGGUCGGGGCAGCCCAUCUCUUCCUUCGGGAAGCUCUCAUCGCAAGGUGUUUGGUCCUUACGUUUUGGAUUUG
rnacentral:lncRNA from 1 species